GAACGCUAGCUACAGGCUUAACACAUGCAAGUCGAGGGGCAGCAUGGUCUUAGCUUGCUAAGGCCGAUGGCGACCGGCGCACGGGUGAGUAACACGUAUCCAACCUGCCGUCUACUCUUGGACAGCCUUCUGAAAGGAAGAUUAAUACAAGAUGGCAUCAUGAGUCCACAUGUUCACAUGAUUAAAGGUAUUCCGGUAGACGAUGGGGAUGCGUUCCAUUAGAUAGUAGGCGGGGUAACGGCCCACCUAGUCUUCGAUGGAUAGGGGUUCUGAGAGGAAGGUCCCCCACAUUGGAACUGAGACACGGUCCAAACUCCUACGGGAGGCAGCAGUGAGGAAUAUUGGUCAAUGGGCGCAGGCCUGAACCAGCCAAGUAGCGUGAAGGAUGACUGCCCUAUGGGUUGUAAACUUCUUUUAUAAAGGAAUAAAGUCGGGUAUGCAUACCCGUUUGCAUGUACUUUAUGAAUAAGGAUCGGCUAACUCCGUGCCAGCAGCCGCGGUAAUACGGAGGAUCCGAGCGUUAUCCGGAUUUAUUGGGUUUAAAGGGAGCGUAGAUGGAUGUUUAAGUCAGUUGUGAAAGUUUGCGGCUCAACCGUAAAAUUGCAGUUGAUACUGGAUAUCUUGAGUGCAGUUGAGGCAGGCGGAAUUCGUGGUGUAGCGGUGAAAUGCUUAGAUAUCACGAAGAACUCCGAUUGCGAAGGCAGCCUGCUAAGCUGCAACUGACAUUGAGGCUCGAAAGUGUGGGUAUCAAACAGGAUUAGAUACCCUGGUAGUCCACACGGUAAACGAUGAAUACUCGCUGUUUGCGAUAUACAGCAAGCGGCCAAGCGAAAGCGUUAAGUAUUCCACCUGGGGAGUACGCCGGCAACGGUGAAACUCAAAGGAAUUGACGGGGGCCCGCACAAGCGGAGGAACAUGUGGUUUAAUUCGAUGAUACGCGAGGAACCUUACCCGGGCUUAAAUUGCAGAUGAAUUACGGUGAAAGCCGUAAGCCGCAAGGCAUCUGUGAAGGUGCUGCAUGGUUGUCGUCAGCUCGUGCCGUGAGGUGUCGGCCUAAGUGCCAUAACGAGCGCAACCCUUGUUGUCAGUUACUAACAGGUUCCGCUGAGGACUCUGACAAGACUGCCAUCGUAAGAUGUGAGGAAGGUGGGGAUGACGUCAAAUCAGCACGGCCCUUACGUCCGGGGCUACACACGUGUUACAAUGGGGGGUACAGAGGGCCGCUACCACGCGAGUGGAUGCCAAUCCCAAAAACCUCUCUCAGUUCGGACUGGAGUCUGCAACCCGACUCCACGAAGCUGGAUUCGCUAGUAAUCGCGCAUCAGCCACGGCGCGGUGAAUACGUUCCCGGGCCUUGUACACACCGCCCGUCAAGCCAUGGGAGCCGGGGGGUACCUGAAGUGCGUAACCGCGAGGAGCGCCCUAGGGUAAAACUGGUGACUGGGGC
rnacentral:rRNA from 1 species